GCCAGUGUGGCAUAGUGGUUUGAGUGCUCGAUUUUACAACUCUGGAAACCAGGAUUCAAUUCCCUGUUCAGCUA